AUUGAACGCUGGCGGCAUGCUUUACACAUGCAAGUCGAACGGUAUCAGGCCUUCGGGUGCUGACGAGUGGCGAACGGGUGCGUAAUGCAUCGGAACGUACCCAGAGGUGGGGGAUAACGCAGCGAAAGCUGUGCUAAUACCGCAUGUGAUCUGAGGAUGAAAGCGGGGGACCGAGCAGCAAUGUUUGGCCUCGCGCCUUUGGAGCGGCCGAUGUCGGAUUAGCUAGUUGGUGGGGUAAAGGCCUACCAAGGCGACGAUCCGUAGCUGGUCUGAGAGGACGACCAGCCACACUGGGACUGAGACACGGCCCAGACUCCUACGGGAGGCAGCAGUGGGGAAUUUUGGACAAUGGGCGCAAGCCUGAUCCAGCAAUGCCGCGUGCGGGAAGAAGGCCUUCGGGUUGUAAACCGCUUUUGGCAGGAACGAAACGGUGUCCGCUAAUACCGGGCGCUAAUGACGGUACCUGCAGAAUAAGCACCGGCUAACUACGUG
rnacentral:rRNA from 1 species